rnacentral:RNase_P_RNA from 1 species
CUAACCGAACCGGGUAACCGCGGAUACAAUGCCGAAAGGCAGUGUCUGAGGAAAGUCCGAGCUCCAGAGGGCAGGGUGCUGGAUAACGUCCAGUGAGGGUGACCUUAAGGAAAGUGCCACAGAAAGGUAAACGCCUACUGGCAGCCGUAUGGCUGGUCCAUGGCAAAGCUGAAAAGGUGCGGUAAGAGCGCACCAGCGGUUGAGCAAUCAAUCGGCUAGGAAAACCCCACCCGGAGCAAGACCGAAUAGGAGGGGGGCGUAUGGUAAUUCCAUACGCGAGGAUGGCCCGUCUUUCCCUCGGGUACGGUCGCAGGAGGCGACAGGUAACUGUCGUCCCAGAUAAAUGGUUACCGCUGACAGUAGUCAGUACAGAACUCGGCUUAUAGGUCGGUUGGUGAC